GUGGAGGGAACUUUCCCAGUCCCCGAGGCGGAUCCGGUGUUGCAUCCUUGGAGCGAGCUGAGAGCUCGAGUACAGAACCUGCUAAGGCCAUCAAACCUAUUGAUCGGAAGUCAGUCCAUCAGAUUUGCUCUGGGCCGGUGGUACCGAGUCUAAGCACUGCGGUGAAGGAGUUAGUAGAAAACAGUCUGGAUGCUGGUGCCACUAAUAUUGUGAUGUCACCAUUUCUACCUGCCAUGUAUCGGCGAAGGUUGGGACUCGACUGGUGUUUGAUCACUAUGGGAAAAUCAUCCAGAAAACCCCCUACCCCCACCCCAGAGGGAUGACAGUCAGUGUGAAGCAGUUAUUUUCUACGCUACCUGUGCACCAUAAAGAAUUUCAAAGGAAUAUUAAGAAGAAACGUGCCUGCUUCCCCUUCGCCUUCUGCCGUGAUUGUCAGUUUCCUGAGGCCUCCCCAGCCAUGCUUCCUGUACAGCCUGCAGAACUGUGAGUCAAUUAAACCUGUUUUCUUCAUAAA
rnacentral:lncRNA from 1 species